rnacentral:rRNA from 1 species
CCUAUCCCUCGUGUGCCUUGCUCCACGACUUGGCGUAAGACGCACGUAGGCGGCCUUCGUAAGUUGGAGUGUGAAAGACCCUCGGGCGUCAACCCACGGAAGUGCAUCCAAAACUGCAUGGCUUGAGUACCGGAGGGGUUCAGAGAAUUCCCGGUGUAGAGGUGAAAUUCGUAGAUAUCGGGAGGAAUACCAGUGGCGAAGGCGCUGAACUGGACGGUAACUGACGCUGAGGUGCGAAAGCGUGGGUAGCAAACAGGAUUAGAUACCCUGGUAGUCCACGCCGUAAACGAUGAGUGCUAGGCGGUGGGAGAUUUUGACCCUCUCGCUGUCGAAGCUAACGCGUUAAGCACUCCGCCUGGGGAGUACGGUCGCAAGACUAAAACUCAAAGGAAUUGACGGGAGCCGUCGACGCGGCCG